CUUCCUCCCACUCUUCUCAACUCGAUCUCCUUCAAAAUGUUAGAAAUGAGGAUCACAGGACAGGUAUAAUCUCUUCAAAAUGUUAGAAAUGAGGAUCAUAGGACAGUCAAUUGAGCAAAGACGGCAAGUCUACAAAAACCGAGCCAGGAAUCAACUGAGGAGGCUUUUGGAUAAACAUCUAGCACCCGACCCGCAACUGUAUCCAGACCCGAACGGAGACGAUGAAUACGGCUCGGGUCGGAGUUAAUAUAAUAGAUUAUUAUUGGUGAUCAAUAAUUAUUAUGGCGGCGUCACAGCAGACUUCUGUAGGAUGUGGAAAUUAUGCAGGUGGAAAUAAUAGGAUCGCGUUGUUGAUGUCAUAGAGGAGACCAUGGUGAUUAAUGGUUUCAUCUUUUAUUCUACUUCUGCCUUUUUUAUAUAUAAGUGAAAGUUUUAUGUAUUA